UGGAAAGAUGAAUCAAAGAAGGUAAUAAUCCUGUAGUCGAAAAUGUUGUCUCUCUUGAGUGGAUCCUGAGUACGACGGAGCACGUGAAAUUCCGUCGGAAUCUGGGAGGACCAUCUCCUAAGGCUAAAUACUCUCUAGUGACCGAUAGUGAACCAGUACCGUGAGGGAAAGGUGAAAAGCACCCCGGAAGGGGAGUGAAAUAGAACCUGAAACCGUGUGCUUACAAGUAGUCAGAGCCCGUUAAUGGGUGAUGGCGUGCCUUUUGUAGAAUGAACCGGCGAGUUACGAUUUGAUGCAAGGUUAAGCAGUAAAUGUGGAGCCGUAGCGAAAGCGAGUCUGAAUAGGGCGUUUAGUAUUUGGUCGUAGACCCGAAACCAGGUGAUCUACCCUUGGUCAGGUUGAAGUUCAGGUAACACUGAAUGGAGGACCGAACCGACUUACGUUGAAAAGUGAGCGGAUGAACUGAGGGUAGCGGAGAAAUUCCAAUCGAACCUGGAGAUAGCUGGUUCUCUCCGAAAUAGCUUUAGGGCUAGCCUCAAGUGAUGAUUAUUGGAGGUAGAGCACUGUUUGGACGAGGGGCCCCUCUCGGGUUACCGAAUUCAGACAAACUCCGAAUGCCAAUUAAUUUAACUUGGGAGUCAGAACAUGGGUGAUAAGGUCCGUGUUCGAAAGGGAAACAGCCCAGACCACCAGCUAAGGUCCCAAAAUAUAUGUUAAGUGGAAAAGGAUGUGGCGUUGCCCAGACAACUAGGAUGUUGGCUUAGAAGCAGCCAUCAUUUAAAGAGUGCGUAAUAGCUCACUAGUCGAGUGACACUGCGCCGAAAAUGUACCGGGGCUAAACAUAUUACCGAAGCUGUGGAUUGUCCUUUGGACAAUGGUAGGAGAGCGUUCUAAGGGCGUUGAAGCAUGAUCGUAAGGACAUGUGGAGCGCUUAGAAGUGAGAAUGCCGGUGUGAGUAGCGAAAGACGGGUGAGAAUCCCGUCCACCGAUUGACUAAGGUUUCCAGAGGAAGGCUCGUCCGCUCUGGGUUAGUCGGGUCCUAAGCUGAGGCCGACAGGCGUAGGCGAUGGAUAACAGGUUGAUAUUCCUGUACCACCUAUAAUCGUUUUAAUCGAUGGGGGGACGCAGUAGGAUAGGCGAAGCGUGCGAUUGGAUUGCACGUCUAAGCAGUAAGGCUGAGUAUUAGGCAAAUCCGGUACUCGUUAAGGCUGAGCUGUGAUGGGGAGAAGACAUUGUGUCUUCGAGUCGUUGAUUUCACACUGCCGAGAAAAGCCUCUAGAUAGAAAAUAGGUGCCCGUACCGCAAACCGACACAGGUAGUCAAGAUGAGAAUUCUAAGGUGAGCGAGCGAACUCUCGUUAAGGAACUCGGCAAAAUGACCCCGUAACUUCGGGAGAAGGGGUGCUCUUUAGGGUUAACGCCCAGAAGAGCCGCAGUGAAUAGGCCCAAGCGACUGUUUAUCAAAAACACAGGUCUCUGCUAAACCGUAAGGUGAUGUAUAGGGGCUGACGCCUGCCCGGUGCUGGAAGGUUAAGAGGAGUGGUUAGCUUCUGCGAAGCUACGAAUCGAAGCCCCAGUAAACGGCGGCCGUAACUAUAACGGUCCUAAGGUAGCGAAAUUCCUUGUCGGGUAAGUUCCGACCCGCACGAAAGGCGUAACGAUUUGGGCACUGUCUCAACGAGAGACUCGGUGAAAUCAUAGUACCUGUGAAGAUGCAGGUUACCCGCGACAGGACGGAAAGACCCCGUGGAGCUUUACUGUAGCCUGAUAUUGAAAUUCGGCACAGCUUGUACAGGAUAGGUA
rnacentral:rRNA from 1 species